AAGCAGCUUUUGCUCAUCAAAAAUCAAAAUAAUGAUUAUUGUACAGGAAAUUGGGGCAAUUGCAAGGCACUCGCCCGCAGCUAACCCCACAUGAACACAUGAACUCCAACGAUCUUUAUCAACUAAUACCACACACGAACUGGGAUAUUUUUUAUUUAAAAUACAAACCGUUGCUUUCUAUCCGCCUGAAUUUUUAUUUCCAAAAAAAUAUGUUAAUAAAUAAAAUAAAUUAGAGUUUUGGUAAAAGCCCAACCAGGGAACAAAAGGUGCUAGCAGUGCUUGCUGCAGCUAACUUUCGCUUGCAUUUUAACGCCGAUUCAAUGCAUACGCAUGCAUACAUAUGUAUGUAUGUAUGUAAGUAUGGACAGUAUAAAUACAUACAUAUACAUGGAACAAAUACAUAUGUAUGUGCAUACAUGUAUACAAAACAUGUACAUAUGAUUGCUUUUGUUUCUCUCACUACGCAAUUUCGCAAAACUCGCAUUUUGAUAUAUUGCUCGUCGUUGUCAAGUCAUGCUAGAUAUGUCUGCUGCUGCUCUCCCUCCAUUCGGCACUCGUUUAUCUCUCGCAGCUGUUGAUCGCUGCAACGGUACAUAUUACUGACUACGCGUCUCGCACCUGUCCAAGUUGAAUGCCCCAAAGCAGAAUCGGCGCCGCAUUUGCUUUGUGCUCGGACAGUAACUGCGCAUUUCCAUUGAAGCAGUAAUGUGGUUCGCUUGUAUCAUGCCUGCCAGACAGAUACGAUGUAUAAAAUGCAACGCAACUUCAACGCUGUUCAGAUGUCAGACCCUCUCUUAGAUUGCUUUGUCUGUUGUUGUUGUGCGUGGGGCGCGUCGUUCACCUCUGUAAAACACCCCCACAAGCUGUGGCAGCAACAGCAAGGCACACAUACAUACAUACAUGCACACCAGUUUAUUUAGUUGUCUAUGUUUCGUGUUUUUGAGUGUGUGUUGCUCUCAUUUGCUGUUAAAUGGUGGCAAGCGAGUUUUUCACCACGGCUGCUUUCUGCGCUGUUGGUGACUAAUUGUUGUUAUUGCUAUAUUUUGACUUUGCUCAAUAAAACAAUGUUUUGUUUUUUU